rnacentral:SRP_RNA from 1 species
GACUCGGACCCACGCAGUUUUAACGCCCAAACUUUGUCAGGACCUGACGGUAGCAGCAAUACGGGAUGCUUAGGACAGGCGUGGAUUUCGGGUCUUUU